rnacentral:tRNA from 1 species
GGGCCCUUAGCUCAGCCGGUAGAGCACCUGACUCUUAAUCAGGGGGUCGCGGGUUCGAAUCCCGUAGGGCCCGCCA